AAUGAACGCUGGCGGCGUGCCUAAUACAUGCAAGUCGAGCGACCAGACGAGGAGCUUGCUCCGCUUACGUUAGCCGCGGGAAGGUGAGUAACACUUGGAUAACCUACCGAUAAGACUGGGAUAACUUCGGGAAACCGGAGCUAAUACCGGAUAAACUAUUGAACGACAUGGUUCAGUAGUGAAAGACGGUUUUGCUGUAACUUAUAGAUCGAUCCGCGCCGCAUUAGCUAGUUGGUAAGGUAGCGGCUUCCCAAGGCAACGAUGCGUAGCCGACCUGAGAGGGUGAUCGGCCACACUGUAACUGAGACACGGUCCAGACUCCGACGGGAGGAAGCAGUAGGGAAUCUUCCGCAAGGGGGGAAAGCCUGACGGAGCAAAGCCGCGUGAGUGAUGAAGGUCUUCGGAUCGUAAAACUCUGUUAUUAGGGGAGAACAAAUGUGUAAGUAACUAUGCACGUCUUGACGGUACCUAAUCAGAAAGCCACGGCUAACUACGUG
rnacentral:rRNA from 1 species